rnacentral:tRNA from 1 species
GGAAAGAUGCCGGAGUGGCCGAACGGGGCGGUCUCGAAAACCGUUAUACAGGUAACUGUAUCCAGGGUUCGAAUCCCUGUCUUUCCG